rnacentral:rRNA from 1 species
CCCUUAGAUGUUCUGGGCCGCACGCGUGCUACACUGAGUGGAUCAGCGGGUCAGGUUGCGCGAAAGUGUUUCCUAAUCUUGAAAUCCGCUCGUGAUGGGGAUUGACGGUUGCAAUUUUCCGUCAUGAACGAGGAAUACCUUGUAAGCGCGGGUCAUCAUCCCGCGCUGAAUACGUCCCUGCCCUUUGUACACACCGCCCGUCGCUCCUACCGAUUGAAUGGUUUAGUGAGGACUCCUGAUUGGCGCCGCCGCCCCGGCAACGGAGCAGCGGACUGCCGAAAAGUUGUUCAAACUUGAUCAUUUAGAGGAAGUAAAAGUCGUAACA